AUUGAACGCUGGCGGCAGGCCUAACACAUGCAAGUCGAACGGAUCCUUCGGGACUAGUGGCGGACGGGUGAGUAACACGUGGGAACGUGCCCUUUGGUUCGGAACAACUCAGGGAAACUUGAGCUCAUACCGGAUGUGCCCUUCGGGGGAAAGAUUUAUGGCCAUUGGAGCGGCCCGCGUCUGAUUAGCUAGUUGGUGAGGUAAAGGCUCACCAAGGCGACGAUCAGUAGCUGGUCUGAGAGGAUGAUCAGCCACAUUGGGACUGAGACACGGCCCAAACUCCUACGGGAGGCAGCAGUGGGGAAUCUUGCUCAAUGGGCGAAAGCCUGACGCAGCCAUGCCGCGUGAAUGAUGAAGGCCUUAGGAUUGUAAAAUUCUUUCACCGGGGACGAUAAUGACGGUACCCGGAGAAGAAGCCCCGGCUAACUUCGUGCCAGCAGCCGCAGUAACAC
rnacentral:rRNA from 1 species